UACGUAGGGUGCAAGCGUUAAUCGGAAUUACUGGGCGUAAAGCGUGCGCAGGCGGUUUUGUAAGUCUGUCGUGAAAUCCCCGGGCUCAACCUGGGAAUUGCGAUGGAGACUGCAAGGCUAGAAUCUGGCAGAGGGGGGUAGAAUUCCACGUGUAGCAGUGAAAUGCGUAGAGAUGUGGAGGAACACCGAUGGCGAAGGCAGCCCCCUGGGUCAAGAUUGACGCUCAUGCACGAAGCGUGGGAGCAACGAGGAU
rnacentral:rRNA from 1 species